GACGAACGCUGGCGGCGUGCCUAAUACAUGCAAGUUGAGCGCUGAAGGUUGGUACUUGUACCGACUGGAUGAGCAGCGCACGGGUGAGUAACGCGUGGGGAAUCUGCCUUUGAGCGGGGGACAACAUUUGGAAACGAAUGCUAAUACCGCAUAAAAACUUUAAACACAAGUUUUAAGUUUGAAAGAUGCAAUUGCAUCACUCAAAGAUGAUCCCGCGUUGUAUUAGCUAGGUGGUGAGGUAAAGGCUCACCAAGGCGAGGAUACAUAGCCGAACUGAGGGGGUGAGCGGCCACAUUGGGACUGAGACACGGCCCAAACGCCUACGGGAGGCAGCAGUAGGGAAACUUCGGCAAUGGGCGGAAGUCUGACCGAGCAACGCCGAGUGAGGGAAGAAGGAUGUCGGAUCGUAAAACUCGGUUGGUAGAGAAGAACGUUGGUGAGACUGGAAAGCUCAUCAAGUGACGGUAACUACCCAGAAAGGGACGGCUAACUACGUG
rnacentral:rRNA from 1 species